GAAAAAUAGUUUGAUUACAAUCAAAUGAGUUAAAAUAUGGCUCAAAUCAUCCCGUUUCUUGGUGCUUUGAUCAUCUUUCUUUCUCUAUUUUUGGUUGAAAGCAAACAAACUAAUAUUCCUUGUAAGUCUGCAGAAGAUUGUCCUAAACCGAUAUAUCCUAGAUAUGUUCUGUGCUCUUAUGGUUUUUGUCGGAUUUUUUUUCCAUGAUCAUAAAAUUUAUAAUUAAUAAACUUUCCUUAAAUCAUAUAAUAUAAUUGUACCUUUAUUAUGGGAUAAUAAAUUUAAAAAUAAUUAUGUUUCCUAAAUUCAUAUAAUAAUGUUUGCUUUAUAUUUCUGUUGUUGUUGUAAAUCCCUAAGGCUAGUUAUUUUUUAGAACUUGGCACUUGUAUCAAAUAUUUAUUUAUUAAACAAAAGGCAAUUAUGUAUUAUGUUUAUGAUUUUAAGGUAAUAAAAUCCAUAGAAUAGUUUGUUCUUUUGAAAA